CUGACGAUGACAAGAAUGCCACCUUGUGACUGGGGAGAGGCACUCAAGACAUGGGGCUGUAAGGAUCUGAAGUUCACCAAUACUUGGCUACUAGAGAAACAGUGUUACCUGCUGUUGGGGAGCCUGGUACUGGGAGGGCUCCUCCUCCUGCUUGUCAUCAUCCUGUUCGCCUGCCUGUGCCGGUUCUAUCAGCCCAGGUCUCGGGGCAGGAGCUCCACUACGCCUCUCUCCAGAAGCUGCCCGCAUCCAGCAGUGAUAUGGAAGGCAGAGGAGAAGGUGAAGGCGUAAAAGAAGACGCCAGCACUGACUAUGCCUGCAUCGUCUUAAACAAACCCAAUUGAGCGCCCCCAAAAGCCUCCCUCGCCCUGGGUGGGUACUCAGAGUCGCCCCGAGUUCACCUAGUAAAGUCUGGUUCCCC
rnacentral:lncRNA from 1 species